rnacentral:lncRNA from 1 species
UAAUCAUAAAUAAAUACAUUCAUUCACACAUGAAUGCACUGCUAUUCGCAAAUGAAUACACUGCUAUUUAUAAAUAAAUAUACAUUCUAACAUAAAUGAAUUCAUCGUAAUAUAAUAUAACUUACAUCUAAAAAAAUAUAGAACAUAAUACAAUUUUUCAUUCUCCUCUAGCUCAAAUUCUUCACCUUUCAUCUUCUCAAAAAAAUCCAAAGUACCUCCACAAAACCCAUAUGGAAGAACUCUCAGAACCUUCAUAGUCAGUUCAAAACUUUCUCUGGCAUCUCUCUGAUUAGCAAUAAAGCAUUGGAUAUUAACAAUAUAGUUUACCUUUGUCGAGCAUUCAAACGUAACAGAAAAAUUCAAAGAAAUUCCCAUGAAGAAGGUUGGCCUGUUAUCAGAUUACACAGAAAAUUCAUCCAUUUUUCACAGGUUAUUUGCAAGCACAGAUUUAACGAAAACAUGAUCAACUGAUUCUACAUCAGAAUUACAGAAAAGAGAUCACAAAUUUUGGACAACAAUACCCUUGUCCAAAUUUUGGACAAUAAUAAUUGGAUAGAUAGAUUUCAAUUUAACACAAAAAAGUUGCAAAUCAGAUUGCUUGAGCUAAUAAGUUUUUUUCCAUGUGCCUAAACAAAUGUUAGUAAAAAAAAAAGGAGUCAAAAGUAAAAUUACCUUGUUUUGUCUCUGAUUGAAGUGUCUCCUGGCCAAAAAAAACAUGUAUGUUCUCGGACGGGAGCCCACCUGAGCCAACCUCUAUAAUGAAAUUGUUGCAAUUCAUCAUAAGAUCUUUUUUUCAUUCCUCUAUAUUUCCCAGUUAAAAAGAUGAUGAUGAGAAAAAUGACAUCCAAAGGCUGAGUAGAUCCAACAGUUAGGGCUUUAAAGUGAAAGAGAUGGAGAUCAAAAAGAAAUUGAAUUUGAGACUGGUUAAAAUGGAAGCAAUCACGUGAAGAGAAAAUAGACAUGAACAAAUUAAAAAGUACAUAUGAAUCCUAUAAUGUAAUUAGAUUCAUACAUGAAUAUAUACCACUAAUCUUGAUUGAAUACACCACUAAUCAUAAAUAAAUACAAAGUAUAAAUUACACUUAGCCAUUUAAAUUCUUAAACUCAUAGAAAAAAUUUACAUAGUUAUUUUAGUUGCAACAAAAUUCUGAAUUUAAGCUCAUAGAUUAACAAAAUUUUAAAUGAUGACAAUUAAAGAGGAUCAUAUACGAGCUCAAUAGGUUCUAAAAAAUAAGAAACCAAAAUGCUUAUUAUGGAAAAAGCAACCAAGUGUAAAAGCCGAUUUCUUUUGAAGUUCAAAAUACGCAGAAGUCGCCCAAGAAACAUGAAACAUAAAUUCAUUGAUAAGGAAACAAAAAUAAAAGUUUAUAAUUACCACAUUGGUUGCGAGUCAAAGGAAUUUUAUUUUGGUUCUUGUUCCACUAUCAGCAAGCAAUCCUUGAAAUCUUUGGUGAUGGAUUGGCGGCCGAACCAAAAACAAUAUCCGACCUAGAAACACCGGCUAAACCAGAAACGCAUUGAGGUGCCGACUUGCAAUGCUCCGAUUAGGAAUGUGACAAACAAUGGUGCGAUGGAGGAAGGCUGAGGGAGGAAGAGAUUAGGGUUGUGACAGAUGAUGGCGAGAUGAUGAUGGUGCGAUUAGGAAGAAAUCGUGGAAUACAGAUGAUGGGAGGCGGCUUAUUGAUUCAACCCUAGAGAGAGAAAGAGAAAGAGA